GAAACAUUGAAUCUGCGCGUUUAUGUUCGUGUUUACGUUUGCGCUCGCAAGGCGCGUGUAAAUACGAUCUUUCUUGUCAAUUGUUCUUUCUAACCUGACAGGGAUGUAUCGUUGCGCGCGUUAUUAGAAGUUUCUGAUUUGAUUUUAGCGUUACGCAGGUAUAGAACGAUGGCGCUCGGGGCAUAUACAGCAUGCGAAUUGGUUGGCGAAGGUUCGUUCGGACAAGUGUUCAAAGCUAAACGAUACUUCGACGGUGAAACGGUAGCUAUUAAAGCUGUUCAAAAGCAUGGAAGAUCGAACGACGAACUGAAAAGUUUGCGUCAAGAAUGGGAGAUCCAACGCGAGCUUCAACAUCCAAAUAUAGUGCCGAUAUAUGGAUGCUACGAGAAUAAAACCGAGAUAUGGGUUGAAACGGAAUACGUGGCCAAAGACUUGCACAAGGUGUUGAAGACUAGUAAAAAUUGCAGACUGUCCAUCGAAAGAACUCAAGCGAUAACGUGCGAUCUGGUCUCCGCGUUGUAUUACUUGCACUCCAAGGGAAUAUUGCACAGGGACAUUAAACCGCAAAACGUAUUGAUCAAGCAGAACGGACAAGCGAUGCUGUGCGACUUUGGUUUCGCCCGCAGCAUGCAAACGGGCACACGGGUAUUGACUUCCAUAAAAGGAACGCCGUUGUACAUGGCCCCGGAGCUUAUAGAGGAACAGCCUUACGAUCACAACGUGGAUUUAUGGUCGCUCGGCUGUAUCGUGUUCGAGAUAGUUACCGGUGCGCCACCUUUCAAUACAAAUUCGAUUUUACACUUGAUCAGAUUGAUAAGAGACGUACGGAUAAAGUGGCCAGAUUUUAUUUCCGAUAGCUGCAAGAGUUUCCUACAGAGACUACUGCAGAAGGAUCCGUCGCGAAGGUUGACGUGGCCCGCCCUUUUGGUGGAUCCAUUCGUGAAGGACGGAGUCCUGAUAAUCGACGGAGACGCGAACAACGCGUCGCUAGCGACGAAGAACGAUUUAACGAAAGACGACUCCGUACCGCGAAACAACAGUUUAUCCGAUUGGAAUCCAACGAUGGUCGAAAGUAAUAUCGAAAACGAAGAAUGGAUCGCGUUCUUGCAGAAAUCUAUGGAGGAAAUCAUGGACGGCGAAAUGGAUUCGUUGCUGCAACAAAAUUGUGUCUCGGUAUUCGUGUCACCGCUGAGAAAUCCACGGGCCAGUUGUCGAGUCGUGAAAUACGUAGCUUGUCUUCUCUCGUUACCGUUCGUCGUCUCGAACGGUCAGCCGAAAGACUGUCUCUCGAAAAUCGAGAAAAUAUAUUUGGACGUUUGGGUCGUACCGAAUCUUGUGUUCGCACUGAAACUUUUCAUGUUCAAGGAGUCCCGUAAUACGAACAAGACCUGUAAAUCUGGGAACACGGAUAGCAGUCUCGCGACCAAUUGGAACGCGAACCGCCUCGAAACCCUGGAACACGCGAUACUUUUGCUUUGCAGGCUAAUUCACAAUCAGCAGAGAUUUCUGGCUCAGUUUUGCGACGCGAUCUAUCUCGUCGAUGGAAUCGAGUUUCUAAAAGAAUUGUUAAAAUUGAGGGAGGAACGGAUUCUCGGUAAUCUCGUUGCGAUUUUUAACGAAAUACUGCGAUCUCAGCCCGAAAACGCGAAUCUAGUGAAAACCGUUGUUCUAAUCUGGGAUAAACCGGAGGACGCAGCGGUGAUGCUUUGCCGCCUCGUAGCGGCCUCGGACGACGUAACAGCCGCAAGAUGUUGCCGUUUGAUCCGACUGCUGGGCGGAUGUUUUCGCACGACAUUGGAAAGCGUAUGGUCGAACGUGUUGAACGUCGGUAUACUGAGUGCGAAAACGUUGAACGACAUCGGUCCAGAGUUUCCCGAAACCGGCGACGAGACGAGGGCACUUUCCGCGAUCGAAGAUCGAUGAAUCCUAUCGCGAGGGACAACGCCGACCACCGCGAAGCAGAGCCAUUGUCCAUCGAUUCCUGCAAUUUUCUCACGAUUUUCCGUUCGAGCUCGGUAUCUUCGUUUGUACAGAAAAAAGGAUUAAAGAAAAAAGAAAACGGAGAAGACAGCGGCGGCGUAUAGAGGCAUCGGAGGGAACGAAAGUAACGUUCGAUCCCGUCGUGGAAGAAAAGUGCGAAAGAAAGGGAUCUCUCGUUCACGGGUUCCCGUUGCGUCAUCGGUUGCGACACUCUUCCUCGUACAUCGCUCGCAACUUGAGCACGUCCUUCUCGCUAAGACCCUUUCGUUGCCCGAGCUUCGCUCCUUUUUUCUGCGUAACAAGUAAGUGCAUCGUACCUCGUCUAUAUUAUUCGGAACGCGUCGACCAGCCGGUACAGCGUAGCGUGUACACACGGUGUUGUACAUACUUUUGGAGUAAUGGUCGGUUCGCCGUUUUUCGAAAACGCGUGAGAACUGUAGUGCAUCACGCUGGCGUAGUCGUAGCCGAUCCCGUAAUCGGUAACGGUCCGAUUGUCGUAUUUGUUGAAAUUGUGUUCUUUGCCUGGAAACGGAGCGAAGGAUGGGUCGACGGAGAGGAGGACGGCCGAAACGAUCUUACUCACCUGGUUUCACGUUCGUCCAAUUUAUAACGACCCACCGGUCGCGAUCCGCCGCGCUCUGUUGGUGAUAAAAGCCCAGCGCGUGCAUCAAUUCGUGAACGAUCACGCCGUGGUGCACGCAUCCUGGACUUUGUAAAUUCAAUACUUGCCCGCGAUCGUGUCGACCGACCAAAGACCAACACCCGGACGUUUUCCCUUCUAUCGCGACGUAGUCGACGUCCGUCUUCUCGUAAGGUCGGAAACGUAUGCACGUGCUCUCGUGGUACUCGUCCAUGGCGCGUUCGAUCAGCUCGAUCUCUUCUUCGUCUGCGAACGCGACGCGCAACCGUGAAACGACGAAACGUCGAAUCCUGUUUAGGGAUCGAUCGACGAAAGCAUCCAAUUACCGAAAUCUUCUUCCUUUAUAUGGUACGGUACUAUUCCGGCGGGCCAACGGGACGCGGUCUUGACCAAACCGUUCUUCGAUUCGACGUCUCCUUCCUCCGACGGGUACAGCAUUAUGUCUCCUUCGAACAGGCCGCUCAGUUCCCAGAGAUUCUCCCUGUCCUCCCUCGACCAAGACUGUAUACGGUUUGCUGUCGCGAACAAAGGAUGUAACGGUACAACGCGUUCCGAACAGAACAGAUUUCGCCUAGGUAGAAAGAGAUUCGUCGUCGAUCGAUCGAUCGAUCGAUCUCGCGUUCGUUUACCAAUGAUUCGAUGCGCGUGCGUUUCGUCGAAGAUGCCUCGGUGCUUCGGAGUCGGUGGAACCACCGGUACGUCGCCUCGUACCGUCGUCGAAGUUACCGUCGCAACCGAUAGCAAGAAGACCGACAAGGAGAAGGACGAUAACGAUAACGUCGACCGCGUCGACGCGACAUUUUUCUCGACGAUUCCAAAUUUCAUAUUGCUCCGGCGAAAGAGUCGGGGAAGAAGCAAACUGUGCACGCUACAUACGAGCGUUCGAAAAGCAAACGACUCGCCGAAUCGUUAUAUAGCCACGAAAAUGCUCGCGUUCGAAGCAUUUAACAUCCGCUCCACGUAUCCUGUUAUCGACCGUUCCUCGACGAAACUCGUUUGCGACCGAUACGGUCGAAUCGCGUGCAUCGUCGUCGUAUUCGGUUUCCGUCGAACCUGUAAACCGCGAAACAACGUUUCCUCUCUCUUCCCUUUUACCGUUUUCCAUUUUUCGCUCCCCCACGGAGAAACGACGGAUCUUCGUUCGUGUCCCCGCCGCGGUAGACCGCUCGCAUAUUCGACCGGACGAACAAACGUUUUUCUUAUCGUCGGGGCAAACGGUAAUUUCUAACGACCGAAGCGAUAUCCAUCGCUCUCGUUGAUUUCGUUCCAUGGCAUAGUUCUCCACGCGCGACGCGUCGUCGUCGUCGUCGAUAUGCAAAUUCAUAGAAUAAUAACGACGGAGAGAUCGCGACGCGAAUAUCAACUUGGCUUUUUAUUCGUCUUAUCUAUUCGUGGUCGGCGGCGUAUGUUUCGGCCGAUAGUCGACGCGGUCGGGGCACGGCUUCGUCGUCGGCAGUUUCUUUACGAAGAAAAUUCCCGACCUCCGUCGUAUCGUGCUUCGAGCCGUAGUCGGGUUAUCCGUCGCGGCUACGGCGAACGACGGACGGACGAACGGAUGGAAAUAGGAAAGAACGGAAGGUAUCGCAUGGAUUCGUAUCCGCGAAUCGCCGACUCCGAAUUCUCGAGACAGCCGGAGAUCGCGGUAUCGGACGUCGGAUUGCGUCGACUAUGUAGGUCAAAAUGGUUCGGCACUCGGCCAUACAGCUUGGCACGCGGGCGUACCGCGUCGUCUCGUCGAGCGUCCGGCGUUCGGUUUCCUAACUCGUAUCGGAGAAAGAAGACGCGGGAGAGACGCUGCGGAGAAUUCGGAACGAUGGAUAUCGAUAAAUGGAAAAAUGCGCGUUGCGCUUGAUAAAUCUUCACCGAAACAGCACCGAAAGCAGGGUCAACGACCCACCUGUUCCAGAUUCGGGUGGCUCGACGUAGCCUAAAUUCUAACCGGACCCGUUGAAACCGCGAUCGGAGAGAAUGGUUGUUUCGCGUUCGUAACAUCGAACGCACAUUUGACCGACGGUUCCGAAUCGUAUCGUAUCGUAUGGAACCGAAGUUUCCUUUCGUAAACGUGGAUCGCGAGAUCGCGCGUUCGAUCGACACGACGAUAGUCAUCUUUUUACUUCUUAUACCGUACCGUUGUACCCGAAACAACUACGACGAUCGAUGGUAACAACGUCAACGACGACAAAGACAUCGGACGCGUGCUCGACGAACGUCGAGCGCGUCGCCGCUGGUGCUCCCUCGUGAACCACUGACCCACUGGGGCCAUAUGGAAACAUCGGGACUCGGGACCGUCUCGAGCCUCGAGACGAGAAUGUAUUUCGGUAGCGGGUACAUUGACCAAAAACCGAUGUUCCUUCGCGGUUCGAUGACCCCCUUCGGCCAGCCUCCUCCAGGCCCGUCCUAUCUCGUUCUCUACUUUCAAUUCCGUCUCUGUCGCCUCGAGCAUCGACUGCUCGUACUCGUAUCGCGCUCUCAUCAUCCCCCUUUACGUACUUUCUAUUCUUUCGAGUGGCCGCCGCGAAACGGAUAACGUUCGAUUUACGCGGCACCUUGCUCGCGACGAACGUUUUCGAGAAUAUCUUUUGAUCGCGACACGGAGCAGUCUUGUUCGCGAUCCGACGACCGCGGCUCGUCGACGUCGAACGAUAUCGUUCGGUUGGCGAGCUUCGUAGCAGCGAGACGGCGAAAAAUUCGAUCGGUAGGAGGAAAACGAACGCGUACCGAACGGUACGUGCGAGUAUGCGACUACCGGGCCGUUAUCUAGCGAGUAGCGGAUCGUUCGCGACGACAUCUUCCCUUUCGCGAAUCGUCGAAACGGUCCCUCCUCGUCCGUUUUCGUUGGCGUCGUCUUUCAUUUUUUCGUUUUUCUAUUCUCGUUUCUUCCACAUCUUCCUUCCUUUCUUUCUUUCCACCCGUUGGACCGAAGUCCUUUCUUCGUCCAGGUCGACGUUCGAUCGAAAAUUUGUAUCCGACACGCGGCAUUGGAACACCGUCGGUCGAGUUUUUACGCGUCUCUCCUUUUUCUUCGCGGUCUCUCGCGCAUCCCCUAGGUAUCCCCCGAUCGACCCCCUUCCCGUCGCGCGUUCUCGGUUCGCCUUCCUGUACGUCUCGUUUGUUCGCGAGUAACGAGUAUUUCCAAGCUCUCGCGUCGGUCAUACACCUGUAAGAGUGAAAGUGUCCUCCAUCCCCACCAAAAUUUGUGCCGCAUAACCACGGUUGCGGAUGCCGCCGUGUCGCCUCGCCUCGCCUCGCCUCGCCUCGCCUCGCUGGGUCGCCAUGCCACCGUAUCACCGUGCCGCGCCAAAACGAACCGAAUCUCGUCGCUCCAACGUUACGAUUAUACAUCCAUAUUCAUCCAUCGUCCGCAUCUUCCCGUAUUCGUAGAAUAUUAUGCGGUAUACGGUACCGGCGCAUCCGUACCGGUCGACGGGGCGCUGCCGCGACAGUCUGCCUCGCCGCCGGUGCCUCUCUCGUUAUUCGUUCGUCCAUCGAUAGCGUAAUUGGCGCAAUUUCGAUUUUCAACCUCGAACGGAAUCGAACGCGACCGAUGGGAUUGCCGAGGGUCGAAUUCGAAAAACGAACGUGGCACGAGAUGAAACGAAGAUGCGCGCGUGCAUCUACGUACACGUGUACGCGUACGCGCGUAUAGGAAUUUCUAUCGGCCUAUCGACUGUUCCGUGCGAAAAUAUAUGCGGCACCUUGAGCAAGAGAAAGAAACGCGCCGGCGUUAUUCGCGAUCGAGGAGAGGUAAUAAACCCAGAAACACCAGUUGGGGCCACUACACCCGCCUUCUUCGAGAGGGCAACGAACUCUGUCCUCGCACUGUAUUACAUUACGACCGAUGUCACUCGGUAUAGGUACACUCGUUCGCGACGUCUUGGCGCGGCACGAGUCGGUUGGUUUCUCCGAACCGUACCGCGAUCGAAUCGAUAUCGGUCGAGAUCCGAAACUCGAAAUCGAAUCGUUCGGCGUCUUCGAAAGUAUUCGCCGAUCGAGUUUGUCCGGGCGGCCCCCGUUCGAACGUUCGCUCGGUCCAACGUCGAUCGAUCCGGCCGAGUCUAUCGGCGCGAACCCGAAUCUCGAACCGGCACUCGUCGUUCCGUUCGUCCUCGAUACGAUUUCGUCCCGAGCAUCGUAGAGCAUCGUAGAGCAUCGUAGAGCAUCGUAGCGCGUCGCGACUUCGCGCCGCGAAGCGUAAACAGCUUUUCGGUCGCCUCCCUCGGACGACGAUAUUUCUCGUCCGGAUCGUUCGGUACGGCGGAUACCGAACGGCCGGGCGGCAUUCCUGUAAAGUACGAGAGUCGUGAAAAUAGCGUAUUAACGAAAUUAGCAUAAGAGGAGAAAGUCGCGGUCGUCGGCCUCUCGACCACGUUUGCUUCGAGUGCCGAAUCUGCGGAUUUUCGUACGCGCGGCGCUCGCGACCGAGCGGCGAGUCGGAGUUUACGCCGAAGACGAUCGGCGAAUCGGACGACGCGCGUCGCGACCCUCGCGAAACCGGUACACCGAUAUUUCUAAUCGUACAAGGUCGAAGAGCGCUCCACCCUCGAUCGGACUUUGCCAAAAUCGUAUCGAUCGCAUCGUUGUACGCGCGCGGUCCGAUAGGUUUCGCGUUGCAGCAGCAUCGGGCGAGCUUAUCGAUCCUCGUCGAAAAGAAACGACGAUGUUUCGCGCGGCCAAAGAAAACGAUCCCAGCCUUGAUAACUGGAUUCUGCCAAUGACCCGAGUCGAUCGUUGCUCCUCGAGCGGUCAACCACCUGCUCCCUCGAUAAACGUUGUAUCGCGUUCCGCGCGUCUCCUCAAAGAAUCGUUUCUUUUCGCACAAUUAUCCGCGCUCUCGUCGAUCGGCGAGCUUCGCUUUAAAAGUAAAAGUGGGUGGUGCUGCAGCGGCGCGAAGAAGUUGCGCGCACCGUUCGUCCGUGACGAUCGGCGUAUCGUAAAGUUCGUUAUACCUGAAAGGGGAUCAACGGAAGGUUAUCGUUACCGGUGAAUAACUCGCGACGCGACUCGACUCGACUCGACUCGACGGUCCUUGGAGAAAAAUUCGUUUCAUCGAACCCGAAGCAGUCGUCCUUAAGACGAAUGAAAAAUGAUUUCAUUACCGCAGGAGUUUGCGCGCGGCCUUUCGCAGGGACGGAUUCGUCGCGAGACGAGUAGAACGCGCGAACUGGUCGUUCGUCGACGAAAGAAGGCAUAAAGUAUCUCGGAAACGUCGCGUCGUUGCGAAAUCUAUACGAAAUCGGUGAAAGAUCGAAGGUUCCGAUCCGAUCGGAGCGCGUGCUCUCUGGCCCCGUCGAAACAGCGAGUCCGGAUUUCGACCGCGAUCCUGCGCGGUUCGAGGAAAGGAGUCGGCACGCUGGGCAUCCGGGUUAUAGGGUUGCCACCCUUCGAUUCGAUUCGCGUAUCGACGUCGCUCCGAUUCGUUUCGCGCGCGUGCCGGAAACGGUUCGAAAACGGUCGACGUUAUCGAAGGAUUACAUUCGACUUAUCGAUACGAUUCGAAUCGCGACCGUUGCACGUUCUCCGCGAGAGCGUGCAACGGUGUCAGCGGUCGGCGCUUGUUUCGGGCACGUACGCGGUUUCGUAUUCGUUACCGUCGCGGCGAGCCGCGCCGCGCCGCGUCCGAUGCAUCGACUCGAUCUUUACCGUGUCGUAGCGGUACCGCGACGCGGAGUACGCGUACAUCGGUACCCGAUUUCUAUCGUCGAUUAUGCUUCGUUCCCGUUCGUCUAUAUGUAUACGCGUGUACGUAUAUUCGACGAACCUACCGAUAGAUGGAUAUCUAAAAACGGAAUCUCCUACGCGACCUUUGCCGACCAAGGGGGGAGAGGGGCAGAGAGAGAGAGAGAGA